UACGUAGGCAGCGAGCGUUGUUCGGAGUUACUGGGCGUAAAGGGCUCGUAGGUGGCCAACUAAGUCAGACGUGAAAUCCCUUGGCUUAACCGGGGAACUGCGUCUGAUACUGGAUGGCUUGAGUUUGGGAGAGGGAUGCGGAAUUCCAGGUGUAGCGGUGAAAUGCGUAGAUAUCUGGAGGAACACCGGUGGCGAAGGCGGCAUCCUGGACCAACACUGACACUGAGGAGCGAAAGCCAGGGGAGCAAACGGG
rnacentral:rRNA from 1 species